UGUUUACCUGAAUGAUCUGUGAGCCUGCAAAGAUCGCCUCCGGGUGGCUGGAAAACUCCUGUAGCCUGCAAGGGAGAGCGUCACGCGGUACAUCUGCGCACCUUUGGAAGCAGAUAUUGCCAACAUCAGGGCAAUGAAGGUUAUU
rfam:Xenorhabdus doucetiae str. FRM16 chromosome, complete genome.